rnacentral:rRNA from 1 species
CCCUUAGAUGUUCUGGGCUGCACGCGCGCUACACUGGUCGAUGCAACGAGUUUCUUUCCUUGGCCGACAGGCCUGGGCAAUCUUUGAACAUCGAUCGUGAUCGGGAUAGAUUCUUGUAAUUUUUGAUCUUAAACGAGGAAUUCCUAGUAAACGCAAGUCAUCAGCUUGCAUUGAUUACGUCCCUGCCCUUUGUACACACCGCCCGUCGCACCUACCGAUUGAAUGGUCCGGUGAAAUCUCCGGACUGGCGUGAGUCGGAGCAAUCUGACAAACACCGGAAAGUUGAUUAAACCUUACCAUUUAGAGGAAGGUGAAGUCGUANCA